AUGCGCCCAAUGAAAACUACUUUAACUCGACUCACGGCACUGCCGGGCCAUUUCAAAUCGCAGUCAUCUAUUCCGGACGCAACCAGCCCCAACAACGAUUUGCCGAGCAAGCAACACAACGACGGGAUUCAAGAAGACGCACGAGUAGUGGAGAACGAAAUGAAAAGAGGCUUAGAAGAAUCAGACGCCAAUGCAGGGAUAAGAGGCAAGGCGAGCCACCACCUACCCCCUCUAUCCACGUUGUCAUUGUGUCAUGUGAGCCCAUCACAAACGGCUAACCCACCAGGUGGGGUACGCUCUAUACCCAUGAUGAACGCCGCAUCGAGGUGA
rnacentral:rRNA from 1 species